AAAUCAGAAUACUCUGCUCCAAUAUUUCUCUAGGGGUAUGCUGGAUAGAUAGACUCUAUUUCAAAAGAUUAGGUAAUCUUAUCUCCCAAGAUUUGUCCGCGGCAUUGUCUUCACCAUUUCCUUAAACGUCCACGAGAUGUGGUUUUACCAUUACACAUGUUUGGGUGACUGAUAUCCAGUAUUUAUUCCUCCACCUAUUGUGCCAAUCUCUCAUCAAGUUCUUAUGGGAGACUCCUUUAAUCCCACCCCUCGGACAAAGUCUAUGGUCACAACUGCUAUAACUACCAAAAAUGAAUCCAAACAA
rnacentral:misc_RNA from 1 species